CUAGCAAUUAACAAACUCCCUCUCACCUUCCCCCGUUCAUUUUAUAAGAGCUCCUCAAUGCGCGAGGCAUUGGUUGUUCUCUUUCCUGCCCCUUUCAGGGGUUAUUUCUGAAGCCUGCGAGCAAUAGUCGAUUUUAUUUUUUUUUUUUUGACCCCAGGGGUGGUUGCUCUGCCUUGCCUUGUUGUGUGGCCAAGGAAACAUAAGCCGUCCGCCAAGUCCCAGAAAGGGACUGAGUGUACUGGAUUUGCCUCCUGCCGCCUUGCACCUGUAGGGUUUGUAAGGGCUGCGGGGGAAGGCUGGGGUGUCGCUUGCCAGGCUGGUCCCACUGCCCCAGGCAGCAGCUGCUGUAGCAAGAGCUUGAAAAGGUUCAAACUUCUGAACAUUCCUUCUUAACUCCUGGGCAAACGUGAGCUGGUGAACUGGAGAGGGGAAAAAUGCAACAGAAAAGCAUUUAAAUGUUGACAGAGACCACAGUAAAAUUAUCCCCUACUUAAAAAAAAAAAGCGCACACACACACACAAAAACAUAAAUGCAGAUCAACAGGAAAAAAACCACAGCCGGAACAAAACACAAGCCAGUGCAUUUCUAGCUGGCUGGAUAAUCGGCAAGGCUUGCAGCCAUUGCGGCUCUGCCUGCCCUAAUUCCUGUCCCCAGCUCCGACUGAGCAACCGCAUCCCCGCAGUCCCCGGAGGGCCGCGGGGAGCUGGCUCCUUCCCCGGCAGUGCUCGAUGCACCCGUGCUUGGCAGGCGGCUGCUCUCCUCCUGCCUUCCCCUUUUAGCAGCCUGGCUGAGCCCUGGAGGCAAGGCUGCGCCUCGCCCCUGCCUGGGCUGCCCUCCGCCACGGCGAGACAGUGCCAGCACUGGGCUGAGGUGGUGGUGGUCGAUUCUUUUUGCUUUAUGGGGGGGUGUGGGGGAAAGUCCUUUCCCAUCUCUUCAAAGGCUGUAACAGGGAGAUGGAGCGGGCCUGCGCUGGGAGAAAAAGCUUGAGUACAAAUAUACAAAACUGAGGAAAACCUAUAUAUGAAUGGUAGUGAAGGCAGACUGGUUGGUGCUUACAGAGAGAGCAGGGAGGUAUGGUAUAAAAGUAAGCUGCAGUACUCACUUCACAGGACUUUCUGGUGGCUAUGUCUACGUUUCAGAAGCAGCAGCCAGAUACUGUUGGCCCCUGGCUCAUUUGCACAGUCUAGGGAUGAAUGGAUUGGUGACUCUUCCAGCCCGCUUCCUCUUCAGGACCCUUUUUAAAUCUGUGCGGUUGCUGUCCUGCCCAGUGAAACCCAGUAGAUUCUGUGAAGGGCUGACAACCUAAGGAGAAAGAGGCCAAUUCAGCCUUCCUAUUCAUCAGGGCUGAUUCAUUAAUGAUUAGUGCCAUUAGGUGUACUACAGCAGUGCCUGAGGGUCCCAAUUAAAGGAAAGUGAGCUUGUUAAAGCCAGAUUCUCCCUCUGUUACUCCUGCCUGAUGCAGAGGUAGUGCCUCCAGGGUGGACAGCAAGAAUAACCCCGGCUUUCCAGGUAUGCAGCCUCUGUGCCUUUCCCCCUCACUCCUCUCACUUUUCCCUCUCCUUCACCUUAGCUGCAGAUCCUGCCUACAGGGUGCUGCGGAGCGAGGCUAGUGCAGGAGUUGGCUAGAAGGACUCGCAGGAGGAGGUGGCAAAUCAGGUUAUUUUUCUGAGCCACUUCAUUUUUCAUCACGAGUGGGUUUGGGUGGUUUUUUUUGGUUUAUUGGGUUUUUUUGGUAGGGUUUUUUUGGCAGGGUUGGGGCAGGCAAAGUGAUAAGGACUGCAGAGGAGUCUGUUACAAAAUCAGAUACGAUUUUAGCUGUCUGAAAGAGUUCCUUUAGGCUACAGGCAGCUGAUGAUCAAUGGUGCUGUUGGCAAAUGUGCUUCCAGCUGGCUGCUGCCUCUCUUGAGGGACAGUUUCAACGCAAGGUUCAUUGCAAUCGUGAUACCGCAAGGGGCUUUCAUUUACUUUGGGCUAAGGAUCUGCUGCCCAGUUCCACCAGUGAGAAGAAAAGCUGGAGGUGAUGUGGGAGAGUGACAACAGCACUGUUAUUGGUGAGUUAUUGGUUGUUCCUUUCCCCUCAAAUUCCCAUGGUGGGUCUGUGUAAAAAAUUUCUCUAAAGGCCCUGUGGCCUCCUCCUGAACUGUGCGUUUGCUAACAGAUGGGCAGAUUGUGCUAGCAUAGGCUUUGCCUUUCAGGAGGUACUGAAAAAAUAGGUUUAAAUGGUUUAAAUUGUCAGAAACCCAGCCUGUGGCCUGUGCCCUAGCUUUUUAGGCUUUAUUGUUUGUUUUAUUUUGUUUGUUUGCUUAUCUCCAAAGCUGAUAUAAAAGAAAGACUGAAACAGCCUCCCGAAGGUCAAGGUGAGACUGACCAUCAUCUGAGUGCUGAUAUUCACCAGCAGCAAUAAAUCCUUGUUCCCAGGUGCUGGAAGUCUCUUCAGCUAGAAAAACAACAUUACUGCAGGGGCAAACAACUAGUCCUGACCUUUACACAGCCAUUCUUUGGGAAAAAGUAUCGCCUGAAGUCAAUAUGCAUUCUGCCGAGCUUUCAUCAGAAGAAAAAUGCCUGAAUUGAAGUGACAACAACAAACAAUAGGUGUUGGUGAUUUGCACUCUCUCCACCUAAAUCAGAUAUCUGGCACAUCAAUACUUAGGAGGCUUAGGAGAAGAAGAAAACAUCAAUAUUUCACUGAACACACAAUGUCGCACAGCUCCCCACAACUCCCAGUCUCCAUUUUAAUGUCCACCAUGGUUACUUUGUUUUGGUCUUUUUUGUCAGAUGACUGAUUUCAGUUUCUCUUUGAAUCCCACCUGUGUGAAUAGCUUGUUUUUCUCCCUAGCAAGUGUUAACAAGGAACUGAAAGGAUUUUGUUCAGGCUCACCAGUCAGGCAGCCCUGAGGUGGCUGACUUCUAGGAAAAGCCACAGCAGGAACAAGUGAGAGCCAGCCUACGCACCAGACACAGCUUUGUUGGUCUUUAGUUUAUGUUCCAACUCGUGCUCGUGUUAAAUGAAUCGCCGUUAGCAACUGUAAUACAGACAAAUGCAAGGAAGAACAAGCUGGACGCUUUAUCACGGAACUGUGCUUGGGAGUGAUGGCCCAUUGUAACACAGACUCACCCACCACAGUGGAGCUGUGCCAGCUCACGGCAAUUUAAGACUUGCUGCGCUCACUGUAGUCCAUGCUCUGAAGUUCCUGAUCUCAUCCUUUGUGUGAACUAGAUCAUGCAAAUGGGGACACUGGAGUCACAGGGAAGUUGAGUAGAGUUCCGCAUGAGCACUGAUGUGAGAAUGAGCUGCAAUUAGCUCUAAACUCACUCUACCAGCCUGUCAUUUCUGAGCUCUACCCCUGCUGCUCUGUAACUGGAAGACUUUCGCUCUAGAAGAUGGGGAGAAGAACAUUUUGCUCAUGCUCAUAUUAAUCAAGUCGUCUUAUGAGCUACUGAAUCUGUGAAAUUGUAUCUCCCGUGGAGUUCAGUGGUAAUGACUGUCUCUGAUGUGGACUCUCUGGUGUCUAAUAAUACAGUUUUGUUUCUGCAGUGGAUGCACUCCUAGCAUUUUUUCUCCUCUGCCUGCCUACUUCCACAGCUUAAACCUUUGAAACUUCUAUCCCCUGUCAAGUUUGAUCAAACUCAGCUCACAGGCUCAAAAAAUUAUUUAGGAGGGACCGACUGGCACUUGCACAAAACAGUGUGAUCUCAUAAGCUUCCUUUCCUUGGGAAACUAGGCUACCAACCUAGCAACGGGGGGAAAAAAAUGCCAUCCUGCUAGCAAAAAGGACCUCAACACUUGGUGGAAAGAGGAGAGGUGGGAGAGGAAAGUGAAGCUGUUUUAAGGGAGAAAAAUAACUGCCUUGUGGCUGCAGAGCUCUCAUACACUUAAAGGGCCAACCUUGGAGACACAUGCUGGAGAAAAUAUUCUCCAGGAGAUGAUAAGUUCUCUCGUGAAAAUUGGUAAGGGAGAGAAAUCACCUGGACUCAUCUUACCACCAGGCAUGCUAAAUGGAUAUCUAUAUGGUAAGAAUUGUCCUCAGUGGUACCUGUUUCUCUCUGUGGACUAGAGGAAGCCACAGACACAACUAGCAUGCAACUCAUGUGCCUGCAGUAUCUAAAACAAGGUGGAUCCUAUCCCAAAGGGAAUGGUCUUCUUACCACUCUGUCCUUCAGACCAAAGUUUUCCAUGGUGCUGCUGCAGGUUUUGUUACUUCAUGUACUAGGUUUGUAUGUUAGAAAAGUUGUUGUAUGUCUUAAUAGCUGCAGAUGUAUGCAUGGUUUUACUGGGCAUUUAUUAGCACUUAUCCUCUUUGCACUAAAACCUUUCUUGUCCUUGUACCUUAUGGAAUAAAAUUCUUUAAGUGAG